GCGACAAACCACAAUUGCAAUAUUAUUACAAUCAAUAAUAAAUAAAAUAUAAUAUAACUGACGUGUUUCUAUGUAUAAUUUUGUACACGGGUAUUUUUUUUUCUUCAAAUAUUUAUAGAUACAUAUUGUUUAAACAAUUUAUUUACAAUAUUUGUAUUAUACAAUCAAUUAAAACUAAUAAUAUUGUAUCGCUCGAGCUCCCGAUUAAUAAUCGAUAUCUAGUGGACGUUUUCGCAAUAAUUAUUUAUUGUUCGGGACAACGUUUCUUAUAUUGUCUAAAAUAUUUAGCACUCUUAGCAUUUUAGAAUUUCUAUAUUACUCGUUGAAAAUAAUAGCGAUGAUGACACUGACGUUCACGUAUACGUAUAGAAUGAAUUCUAUACGUAUAUGUAGAGAGAGCAAAAGCAACCGCGUCAAAUGUGUGUGAUUAACCGCAGAAAUAUGUGCAGAAAAACAGUAAGCAAAAUUAAGAUAAAUAAACGCUUUUGCUCACACUGAGCGGAUGAAAUAGAAAUAAGUUUUGCCGUUCAUAGCACAAAAAAUUGGGAGGGCUUGCCAUUGUAAAGAUCCAUUCGAAAGUUUCACGGUUAGAUACUGUUCGUGUAUUAGAGAAAAAACGAGGAUGAGUGCUGGUUUUAGUGUAGAAAUCAACGUUCCAUACCAGAUAAAUGUUUCAGUUAUUUUCUGCCCCCCCCCCUCCCGCACCAAUACCAAUGAUAUAAAUUAAGUAAUUUCACAAACAAAAAUAAAUCCAUAAAAUACUUUGCUAACUAACAACAUCUAUAUUUAGUUUAUCUAAUUAAACAGAAAGACAAUAAGUCUUGGAGGGGCUAAAAAAUUAAAAUUUUAAAUUGGUUUCUAUAGCUUUUGGGUCUGAGAAAAUCGGUCGGAAAAUAUAAUAAAAUCGACAAUAUAACGACGGAUUAAUUAUUUGCGAUGGUAUACGAACGUAAGUUGCAUGCAACGUUUUUCGGAUAUUUUUUUUUAAAUGUAUUUUUCGGCUACGGAGACGCGGAAAAAUAAAAACGGCGGUUAAAAACGUUUGCGAAAAAUUAAUUUCGAAAAUAAAACGAAAACGGCACUUUUUCGAUCGGGAGUCCGUGACGUUACAGCCGAACGAACAAAAACGACGGUUUACACGCAAUAAUAUAGUUCACAUAAUAAUUAUAUUAUUAUAUUUAAUAACAUACAACAUUUUAUAUAGUAGAUAAUAAU